UCUGGUAGCAUUUUUCCAACACUUCCACAUCGCAGUCGUCCCAGAUUUGAGCAUUACAGGUUCUGUUGUUUCCCAAAUAAAUAUGGUUUUGUUUGUAUGUUUGUAAUGCUCAUUAAAGCUUUUGUUUGUAUGGUUAUGGUUAUUGCUGCAUGACCAUUGUUCUUUUUGAA